rnacentral:rRNA from 1 species
GACGAACGCUGGCGGCGUGCCUAAUACAUGCAAGUCGAGCGAAUGACGAGAAGCUUGCUUCUCUGAUUUAGCGGCGGACGGGUGAGUAACACGUGGGCAACCUGCCCUACAGAUCGGGAUAACUCAGGGAAACCUGGGCUAAUACCGGAUAAUCCUUCGAAUCACAUGUUUUGAAGUUGAAAGGCGCUUCGGCGUCACUGUAGGAUGGGCCCGCGGUGCAUUAGCAAGUUGGGGGGGUAACGGCCUACCAAGGCAACGAUGCAUAGCCGACCUGAGAGGGUGAUCGGCCACAUUGGGACUGAGAAACGGCCCAAACUCCUACGGGAGGUAGCAGUAGGGAAUCUUCCACAAUGGACGAAAGUCUGAUGGAGCAACGCCGCGUGAGUGAUGAAGGUUUUCGGAUCGUAAAACUCUGUUGUAAGGGAAGAACAAGUACGUUAGGAAAUGAACGUACCUUGACGGUACCUUAUUAGAAAGCCACGGCUAACUACGUGCCAGCAGCCGCGGUAA